CCAACCACGCUGCCCCUGGAACAUGGCGCCGCCUGCCUCCAGGGCUCCUGGGCGGGGCCUAGAGCCGAGACCGCUGAUUGGUCCGAAACCAAGCUUGCUGAUUGGUUCCCAAAAGGAAAGGGCGGGAAAGGCCUCGGGAAGCAGACAAAGAGACGCUAACUCCCAUACUUGAGAGAAUAGCCACGGAGGGCGAAGUUCGCUGGACCUGGAAAGCAACUUUAGAUCGGGAAUUCCAAGGAGGGGAACUAGGGCCAUUUUAUCAAGAGUACUGUGGAUAUCAAGAACUGUAAACCUAGAAAGAAGGAACAAGCUAGACAUUGAACAAGUUGAAGAGAGAAGGAUGAAAAAUGCUGUUGAUUAAAAAUAUAGACAGGACUGAUGAAGAAGGACAGAGUCAAAAGCAGAUGGGAAUAUGGAUGUAUUUUGAUCUAGGGGAAACAGGCAACUCUCACUAAUAACGCAGGAAAAAAGAACUGAAAAGAGGAAAAAGAGCCAAAGAUUUGCUAGACUAAAAAGUAUGUUGAGUGCAUGCAGGAAGACAUGAUUAUAUGCUAAUUCAGGCCAUUUUCUACUUCAAGUCUCUGGAGAAAAUUUUUACAUUUACAGCAACAUGUUUUGGAAAAGAAAUGAGGUGAAUUUUUCAGAAUUAAAUCCAACACUGAAAAAAGCUAAUUCAACGGGAAGAAGAGUACAGAUGUGAACAUCCAUCCGCUAGACUCAGUAUGCUGGCAGCACAUUCGAGAAGAGUUUCCGAGCAUUACAAAAUCAAGCUGCAGUUUGCUCCAGAAACAAGACAUGAGGAUCAUACUCAGGGAAGCUCCCUGUGUCCUAGAAGACCCCACAGAAGUAGAGUGUUAUUUUGAAAGGCUCCAGCAAAAUCCAUGUAGGGAACUGAAAUUUUGCUUCAGUAGCUAAGGACAAAGAAGAGCAUGAGCAAACCUCAAGGUCCUGCAGUAGAGGAGGUGAGAGCCUGAUCAUCACAGUGAAGAACUAUAUACGACAGACUUCAACCUCAAGCUGGUUCUGGUGGCAUGGGCCUGUAAUUCCAACAUUUAGGAGAUGGAGGCAGGAGGAUCUUGAGUUCCAGACCAACCUGCAUAAAGAGAUCCCAACUCAAAACACAACCUACCAAAUCAGAACACCAAACAGUGUCUUAGAACAAGGAAAUCUAUUUAAAACCUUUAACUGGGCUGGGGAGAUGACUCAGCAGGUAGAGAUGCUUGCCUCCAAGCCUGAUGACCCAAGUUUGAUUCCUGAGAGGAAGGAGUGAACUGAUUCCUGCAAAUUGUCCUCUGACCUCCACACAUGCUAUGGCAUGCACAACGACACAUGUACACAAAAUACACAAAUGUAAUUUUAAAGAUAUUUAACUUCUCUGUUUUAAAAAUAACACACCAAAUGUGAUAGUAUGAAAAAACAUUGUAAUUUUUCAUCCAAAGAUAAUAAAGUUAUUAAU